rnacentral:lncRNA from 1 species
UGUUGUUUGAAAUGUAUCUCUAACUAGUGGACAAAUUGGCGUGGGAAAUUCACUUCAUUAUCUUUUAUAAGUUUAUUUUGCAUUAAAAAAAAGUUUACAAGGCGAUCUUUAAUAGAUCGAGAUAGAUAGUUGGCCGAAUUGGAGCAGCGUUUUGUUGAUGUUGAAAGUGUGUACGCUACCUGCAGACAGUUUUCAAGUCAAUAAGAGAACAAUAGUCAAUGAAUGAGAG